AUUAAGCCUCAGCUCCAGCUCUCUGUAUUGCACUCACUAGUCAUCAGGUUGGAAGGUCCUGGGUUCCUGUGUCCUGUUGGGCCACCGCAUGAUAGAACUUUAAUGCUACUUCCUGGCAUAGCAGGAGAUGAAAGAGCAGGGGGAAGAAACAUCAAUCUAACCACGAAUUUUAUUUCCUUGUGUUUCUGAUGCUAAAAAUGGAGAGGAAGUCAAACUAGACAAGAGGGAAGUCUCCAUGAAGUGUGGAAAACAAGCUCCUUGAUUGUGGAUGUGCAGAGCUGCCUGUUGAGUCUGAGGAGUCUGGCAUGUGACACACUGCAGACCUGAGACAAGAAGCCUUGUUGCUAUGGAUGACUUUUAGUGACCUAUAAAUUUUGCAGGCGCGCCACAGCACUCUAUUAUUGCUUUCUUUCUCUGAGUCACUAAUUAGAUCCUGAUGAUUUCCAUGUGAAACCAUGAGGACUGGGAGAUGCAAAAUGGUCUUGCUGUGUAGAUUCAUGAAUGCUGGACUGUUGGAGGAUAUCUGAGUGUGCUUUGCAUACUUGGCUUAAUUUGUUUUUUUUUUAACUAAAAGUAGUUGUAGGUGAAAUGAUUACUUAGGUAAUUGUUUUGGUAAAUGGCUUGAAGUUGAACCACAGCAGUUUUGCUAUUUGGAAAAAAACAAAAUGAAAAAAAUAUCAUUCUAAUUUCAGUUUAUUUGGUUUACUGACCCAGUUUUGGCUAGGGGUUAUUGAAUCUAGUGAGAAUUAUUUUAAGCACCCCCCAAAGAAGGAAAGAUAUGAAGUCCAGAGAAGGAUAAUUAUAUUGUAAAAAUAAAAAUUUAAUGACGUUUA
rnacentral:sRNA from 1 species